UCUCCACACAUUUAGUACAACUGUUAGUUGGAUACCAGACGAUUCAGGACAUUGACUGAUGUUGUUUUCACUUCAUAUUCUCUCAUUAAACAACUUGUUUCAUCUCUCUUUCUCUCUCAUUAAUCAACUUGUUUCUCAUACCCCCCCAGACAAGCCUCAGAUCACUAUGAGUCCUGGAUGUUUCUCCAUGAGCAUCACAGAGGGCGACACCUUAUCACUUAACUGUAGUGCAAAGGGUAACCCUGCCCCCUCCUACGAUUGGUUGCACCCCCAAUCCGCCCCCGCCCCCAACACCACAGAAGAGAGAUCCGUAGUGACCAUCACCAACAUGGCCAAGUCUCACUCUGGAGAGUACACCUGCAUCGCCAGAAACCCCCUGGGAAACAGCACCUGUACUGUUAACGUGGAGGUCACAGUGAACUACCUGCUCAUCAUUGCAGAGCUGGCUGCAGCUGCGGUGGUGAUCAUCUUGUUCUCCUGUUUCAUCUACUCCUCUUACUAUAAACACACACGCAUGGGCCACUACCAGCUGAAAGACAGGUUGCCACGACGACACAAGAACAAACAGGUGGUGCACCACAACGGAAUGGACCAGUCCUUUAUGUAGAGGAGGGGUUGGGGUCAGAGCAUGUGAACAGAGGUGAGCGGUUGGAAAUUCGGAUGAGUGGGUGUGGCUCUCCUUGUCCUUUCCUACUGCUCCCUCACAGAAAAAAACACUUUUCCAAAUUCACUCCAUUCAUUAAAAUCACAAUUUCACAAACACCCAUCUAUUUAUGUGACUACCUGGACCUACCAAUUGUUUUUAAGUAUUGAAAAACAAACAAUAUGGAUUUGAAUGAAACGUAUUUGAAUAAACAUGAAAAGAUGAACAUAGGAUGUUUUUUUGUAAUUGUAAAUGUAACCUUUAUUUAACUAGUCAAGUCAGUUAAGAACAAAUUCUUACUACAAACCCGGAUGACGCUGGGCCAAUUGUGUCCUGCCCUAUGGGACUCCCAAUCACUGCCGGUUGUGAUACAGCCUGGAUUCGAACCAGAUCUGUAGUGACGCUUCUAGCACUGAGAUGCAGUGCCUUAGACCGAACAUAAUUUCAAAUAGGCUACAUGUCAUAUUAAACAGCAUAUAAACACUAAGUUGGUCAGGGGCCUGAGAAGGAACUAAAAUUAAUUAUUUAGGCUAUAUUAUUUCAAUUAUUUCCAGGCUAUAGCCUACAAAGAAAUACAUUGUGAAGCAUUUACCAGUGCAACACAGUAGCCUGGUAGGGACCAGAGUACGUGAGCGGAGCUGGAACGGAGCAGAGCGUGCCCAAUUUGACUGGAUCGUGGAGCGAGAUUCCCAAAGGCUGGAGCGUCGGUCAUCUCGCCGGCACCAAUUUCGCUCCAGUAGCGCUCACUUCAGCUCAGGGCAUGCCCGGCCCAGCAUGCAUUUGUAGUCUCGUGUGUGCUGCUAUAUAUAAUAGCCCCUUGCUUUAGCUACUGUCAUGGAGUUCGCUAAAUAUUUUCAUAAAGAAGCUGAUAAAGCACACAGGGUCUAAAUCAAGGUGACUUACAAAGAUGAGGACCAAGAGCAAGAGAGAGAGUGCGGUAACGUAGAGUCAGUCCACUGUUAUGUGUAAGGCUGCUGGUAUGGCGUUAAACUGUUAGGUUAUAGACCGGAUGUCAUUGUUUUAUGCUUGGGAUAAAGCAGUUGUUACACGCUGGCUACAUGAAACAUCCACAACUAAAGAAUCAUUGUGGAAUCUGAAAAUACACUUAUCCCAAAAGUAUGAUGGUGUACUUACUAUGUGCACAUGCUAAAAGAAAGGAAACGAGGUGGGGAGAUAACUAAGUGUGUCAUGGUAGCAAAGUAUUUAUAAACAAUGUGAGAUCUUAAACGUUUCGUUCAUUUUCUUUCUAUUAUUUAUACAAUUGAUUUUGGCCCAAUAGGCCUGGCAUAUUCCCACGUUCAAGGAGCUUUCCGUUUUGAUUGGGCUAUUUUGCCUAAAAAGCUUUAGGCCUACAUAUAGAUGUGUUUGUAACAACUCUGCCUGGAGUGGUCAUAUAUAUGAAACGCCGUUUGGGUCUUUGCAUGCCAAAAAAUAUACAUGUCAAUAAACACUAUUUGACGUGUCAAUUAACACUAUUUGACGUUUCAAAUAAGCUUGUUGACCAAUCAGGACCUGGAUAUGACUUCACGUCACAUGAUCAUUUAACGCGUUCAUAACUUUUUUACGUAGUUAUUACACAUUGAUUACAUCACUCGUAUUUCAUAUGUCACAACGAUUAAUCGAUAGGUAUGCUAUGACGCUAGUAAACUUGUCUCGCGCGCACCUACAGUGAUGGUCAUAAAAAAGCUAGCUAGCUCAUGGAUGCAAACAAUGUUCUUCCACCCAAAAAUAGCAAAACGACAAUCUGUUUCAGUAGCUGUAGUUAGCAAGCUAACUAUAUAGCUAGUUGUCAUCAUCUAAAAUAACCCUAAUUUAUAAGACAGUUUUUAUUUGAUUAAUGUUGGUCGCACCCAUCUAUGUGAAGCUAGCCACAAUAAACAUUAGCCACAAGAGUGGACCUUGCGGUUAGCCUUCAAAAUAAAGGUAUGUUAUUGACAUUGAUGCAAAUGAAUACAAAUAGUAGAAUUAUGCCAUAAUUGAAUAGAUCAUGCUAAAUGAGGUUGGAAUCAUUUGUUAAUUUGACAAAAAUCUGUUUUAAUCCUAGUGGAUCUAUUAGACUUUAGAAUUGCAUUGGGGGCCAUACUUAUUUCACUGUACAGCCUUACCUAUGGAUUGUGGAUCAAUGACAAGGGGUAUCAGUCUACUCAGUGACACCCAGAGAACAUUAGUGUCGUAGCUCUUAUUGCGGGACUCUGAAACGACUGUGAAUUGAGCCACAUUUAUUGUCAACCUAUGUGUAUUGAACACUAUUCCUGAGGAAAAACAAUACUGCGUGGAUGUUUUGGAGUCUGAUAACUCUGAGGAGGAUGUUGGGAGAAAUAUAUUGGGUAUUGAGUAGACUGAUACCCCAUCUCAUUGAUCCCCAAUCAUUAGGUAAACCUGUACAGUGCAAUAUAAAUGUCAAUACCCACAACAGGCUGACUGGGGAGGGGAUUUCACACAGUCACAGUCCGGUAAUAAGAGCUACAACGCUAAUAUUUGCCUAAACUCUUCACAGUUGUGUUCUGUGGGUGUCACCGAGUAGACUGGUACCCCAUUUCAUUGCUUCACAUUCCAACCUUGUUUAACAUUAUCUAGUUUACAUUUGGCAUGAUUCCACCAAUUGUAACCUUCCGCAUCACUUCCAAAGAGGUACUUUUAUUUUGAAAGCAAAUCGCAAAUAAAAAAAUAUUGUUCCUAAUCCUUACUGUGUCUAGGUUUACAACACAUAAUCCGGUCCGAUCGAGCCUCAUUAAACUAGCUGGCUGCUUAUAACGUUAUCUUUGGGCAACAGGGUUUAAAUUAAAAGCUUAUUUAACGUGUCAAAUAUUAUUUGACCUGUAUAUUUGACGGAACUGCGUUCCAUAGCCAAAAUGUUGUUUUGCAUCGCCAAUGGCUCUGCAAGUAUGGAGAGGAUAUUCACUGGUGUUGUGCCGAAAGUCUCCCCCCUGCCAGAAUUAUCCCCCCCUUCUAAUUUCCUUAAUUUGUGGAUAGAGUCAAAUACUUUAUGUGGCACAUAUCAGAGUCAAAUACUUUCUAUAGAACAAACGUCACGUCAGGAUAGGCAACCGAAAUUAAUAAUUUAUGUUUGUGUGUUAUAUUAAACACAGAGGAGGGAGUAAAAUGUUGGCAAGCAAUAAACAUUUCAGAACAACUACUAGUCGAAUAAGACAUUGGAGAGAUGACGAAUUUUGGCAAAGAGAUUAUUUAUAGACUAAUACAAAUCAGUAGCGGAUUUAGGUACGGGCGACAUGGGCAUCUUGUCGCAAGCGGGGGCGGUCGCUGAAGGUGGGGGUUGAAUUCUGGCAGGGGAGAGAUUUUUCGGCACAACACCUGUUCUCAAGGCACCAUCGCAUGAGCCUGAAGCCACAGACUGGCUAAACUCCUGUUUCUAAAAAUGAAUUUAAAGGCACUAAUAACUAUUUUUUUUGUCUAUUUCGCCUAGCUGUAAGUCACAGCCUGUAGGGUACUAGGAGGUAUCUAGCCCCCCCCCCCCCCCCAAGAACAAUGUCUAAUUGUUGACACAAAAAAGCAACAAUUGGUGAAAAAAUGGUGGAUAAAGGUCAUGCUUAGGCGAAUAAACUAUAAAGGGAGAUAAAUGACUACAGUUUACACUUUUUUUGUUAUU
rnacentral:lncRNA from 8 species